rnacentral:rRNA from 1 species
UACAGAGGUCUCAAGCGUUGUUCGGAUUCAUUGGGCGUAAAGGGUGCGUAGGCGGCGCGGUAAGUCGGGUGUGAAAUCUCGGGGCUUAACUCCGAAACUGCAUUCGAUACUGCCGUGCUUGAGGACUGGAGAGGAGACUGGAAUUUACGGUGUAGCGGUGAAAUGCGUAGAUAUCGUAAGGAAGACCAGUGGCGAAGGCGGGGCGCUGGACAGUUCCUGACGCUGAGGCACGAAGGCCAGGGGAGCAAACGGG